rnacentral:rRNA from 1 species
GUGCCAGCCGCCGCGGUAAAACGGCUUCAACAAGCAAUAGUAAUUUAAAUUGGUGUAAAGGGUACGUAGCUUGUGUCUUAGUGACACUUGAGUUAGAUGGAGGUAAGUACAAUACUUAGAGUAGGGCUGAUAUCUUAUGAUCCUAAGGGGAGUGCUAAUGGCGAAGGCAACUUACCAAGCAAUAACUGACGGNGAGGUACGAAAGUUAGGGGAUAGACAAGGAUUAGAUACCCUAGUAUUCCUAACUGUAAACGAUGUAAAUUAAGAAUU